rnacentral:rRNA from 1 species
AACGAACGCUGGCGGCAGGCUUAACACAUGCAAGUCGAACGGUAGCACAGAGGAGCUUGCUCCUCGGGUGACGAGUGGCGGACGGGUGAGUAAUGUCUGGGGAUCUGCCCGAUAGAGGGGGAUAACCACUGGAAACGGUGGCUAAUACCGCAUAACGUCGCAAGACCAAAGAGGGGGACCUUCGGGCCUCUCACUAUCGGAUGAACCCAGAUGGGAUUAGCUAGUAGGCGGGGUAACGGCCAACCUAGGCGACGAUCCCUAGCUGGUCUGAGAGGAUGACCAGCCACACUGGAACUGCGACACGGUCCAGGCUCCUACGGGGGGCAGUAGUGGGGAAUAUUGCAAAAUGGGCGCAAGCCUGAUGAAGCCAUGCCGCGGGUAUGAAGAAGGCCUUCGGGUUGUAAAGUACUUUCAGCGGGGAGGAAGGCGAUAAGGUUAAUAACCUUGUCGAUUGACGUUACCCGCAGAAGAAGCACCGGCUAACUCCGUGCCAGCCGCCGCCGUAA